rnacentral:tRNA from 1 species
UCGCAUGUGGUCAAGCGGUUAGGAUCUGGCGUUUUCACCGCAAUGGCCCGGGUUCGAUUCCCGCCAUGGGAA